rnacentral:lncRNA from 1 species
GCAAAACUACCGGCCCAUGCGGCCCAACGCGACGCAAGCGAGGGAAGUGAGGGGAAAAGGGCGCUAGAGGCCACAGAAAAAGGCGCGAGGAUUACAGAAACGGCGGCAAAGUUCACCGGAAGGAGAUCGCUGGCGCCCGGCGGGGACUGCUACUCUGCUCGCCAACGCCAAUCUCAGGUAAGUCUCCACAGUCCUUUCUCUCGACGCUUAACACAUGAAUAAAAUUGAUCGACGUUCCAGCAUCCCAUUAUUUUAGAACUUGAUCGUUUUUUCCUUUUUCUCAUGGAAGAGCAGCCUGCUGAACUCUGAUCAGGAACCCCUUUUUCUGAUGGAAGAAGCAACCUAGGUGGAAAACGAGACUAACACAGCACACCAUGAUUCUAAUUCCAAUAAGUAAAUUUUCCUGAUUUUUUUCUUGUCCUCCUGAAGUUCGACACAGUGUGAAAUCUGUAGUGAUUCCCUGCAUAGUAGUGAAAUCUGUAGAUUCAAGAGAUACAUUGUUGUCCUCAUGUGAUUAUUUCCAAGGCAUGGAGUAAUACUUAUGACUCAUUACCAUGUUCUGUAUUUUGUAGAAUUACCUUAGCACCUAAUCCCUGUUGGUCCCAAUCACCACUACUGUUUGCUUAUUCUCUUGUAAUAAUCUUUUUCCG